UCACUAUGGCAGUAUAUAUACUAAAAUUGGAUGGAUACAGAGAAGAUUAGCAUGGCCCGUUAAAAGGAUGACAUGCAAAUCUGUGAAGCGCUCCAUAUGUAA